rnacentral:rRNA from 1 species
UAGUUGGUGGGGUAAAGGCCUACCAAGGCGACGAUCAGUAGCGGGUCUGAGAGGAUGAUCCGCCACACUGGGACUGAGACACGGCCCAGACUCCUACGGGAGGCAGCAGUGGGGAGUUUUGGACAAUGGGGGCAACCCUGAUCCAGCCAUUCCGCGUGAGUGAAGAAGGCCUUCGGGUUGUAAAGCUCUUUCAGCUGGAACGAAACGGUACGUCCUAAUACGGUGUGCUAAUGACGGUACCAGCAGAAGAAGCACCGGCUAACUACGUGCCAGCAGCCGCGGUAAUACGUAGGGUGCGAGCGUUAAUCGGAAUUACUGGGCGUAAAGCGUGCGCAGGCGGAUUGUUAAGCAAGAUGUGAAAUCCCCGGGCUUAACCUGGGAAUGGCAUUUUGAACUGGCAGUCUAGAGUGUGUCAGAGGGGGGUGGAAUUCCACGUGUAGCAGUGAAAUGCGUAGAGAUGUGGAGGAACACCAAUGGCGAAGGCAGCCCCCUGGGAUAACACUGACGCUCAUGUACGAAAGCGUGGGUAGCAAACAGGAUUAGAUACCCUGGUAGUCCACGCCCUAAACGAUGUCAACUGGUUGUUGGGGGAGUGAAAUCCCUUAGUAACGAAGCUAACGCGUGAAGUUGACCGCCUGGGGAGUACGGUCGCAAGAUUAAAACUCAAAGGAAUUGACGGGGACCCGCACAAGCGGUGGAUGAUGUGGAUUAAUUCGAUGCAACGCGAAAAACCUUACCUACCCUUGACAUGUCCAGAAUCCUGCAGAGAUGCGGGAGUGCCCGAAAGGGAAUUGGAACACAGGUGCUGCAUGGCUGUCGUCAGCUCGUGUCGUGAGAUGUUGGGUUAAGUCCCGCAACGAGCGCAACCCUUAUCAUUAGUUGCUACGCAAGGGCACUCUAAUGAGACUGCCGG